GGUCAGGGAAAUGGUCAGGGAAGCGGUCAGGGAAGCGGUCAGGGAAAUGGUCAGGGAGGCGAUCAAGGAAAUGGUCAGAGAGGCGGUCAAGGAA